UACGGAGGGUGCAAGCGUUGUCCGGAUUUACUGGGUGUAAAGGGCGUGUAGGCGGAGCGGCAUGUCGGAAGUGAAAUCGUACGGCUUAACUGUGCAAAUGCUUCCGAAACUGUCGCCCUUGAAUGCGAGAGGGGCAGAUGGAAUUCCAGGUGUAGCGGUGGAAUGCGUAGAUAUCUGGAAGAACACCAGUGGCGAAGGCGGUCUGCUGGCUCGUGAUUGACGCUGAGGCGCGAAAGUGUGGGUAGCGAACAGGAUUAGAUACCCCUGUA
rnacentral:rRNA from 1 species